rnacentral:rRNA from 1 species
AUUGAACGCUGGCGGAAUGCUUUACACAUGCAAGUCGAACGGCAGCACGGACUUCGGUCUGGUGGCGAGUGGCGAACGGGUGAGUAAUGUAUCGGAACGUGCCCAGUCGUGGGGGAUAACGUAGUGAAAAUUACGCUAAUACCGCAUACGAUCUAUGGAUGAAAGCGAGGGAUCGCAAGACCUCGCGCGAUUGGAGCGGCCGAUAUCAGAUUAGGUAGUUGGUGGGGUAAAGGCCCACCAAGCCAACGAUCUGUAGCUGGUCUGAGAGGACGACAAGCAACACUGGAACUGAGACAGGGUCCAGACUCCUACGGGAGGAAGCAGUGGGGAAUUUUGGACAAUGGGCGAAAGCCUGAUCCAGCCAUUCCGCGUGCAGGAUGAAGGCCCUCGGGUUGUAAACUGCUUUUGUACAGAACGAAAAGGUUUCUACUAAUACUAGGAGCUCAUGACGGUACUGUAAGAAUAAGCACCGGCUAACUACGUGCCAGCCGCCGCCGUAA